AGAAGUACAUUUUAUUAACUUUUUCUGUACAUUAAGGGGGUUCAAUAUCCGCACGGCUGUUAACCAUGGCAAAUAUUAACACAUAGAAAUGGUAUAAUAAGAAAAUAAAAAGGCACAAUUUUUUUUCCAAUCUUAAGUAAAAGGUCAACACAAACCAAAAAGGGCUUUCUUAGAACAUGAGUAAACAGCAGGAGUAAUACUGUGGAGGGUGACGCGUGUUGGAGGCAGCUCCAGCCCAGGGAGGAGGGGACCAGAGGAGGGUGUAUUGCUCCGUCAGUACGGGUUCAUGGGGGCCAGAGAGGACCAGAACCAGUACAGGUUGGUUUCACAGACCAGGCAGCAUUGAAAUAGAUCAAAACGUUGGAAAGAAAAACAGUAAAAGCAGCAUUGGGGAGAGGGGGGGGGCGUCUCCGAGUCCAAGACAUCAUGCAAGCAUCAGGUCACCAGCAGGCAUUUUUGUCCCUCUUGAGAAAAAUACUAAAUUAAGUCACCCAGAGGGUCAGAGGUCGUGUUUUCAGAAACCGUCGACCCAUCGUUUGUACAUAAGUCAUUCAAUAAGUGGCAACGACAAAAAGAAAAAAGGAAUUUGAGAGGUUGCACAGCUGUGUCGCUGAAUGACUGUGAGAAUGGGGGUCCCCUAGGGAGAGAGGGUUAAGGGUGACGGGGGAAGGGUUCAGGGAAAAGAGAGACCGAGGCAGUUGUGGAGCAUCUUUACAGCAGAGAUGGUCGGAGCUCCCAUCGUAGGGCCUUGAUCACCUCCAGCUCGUGGUCACCAGAGAGAACAUCACCCUCCACACCGAACGCCAACGGUCCUCCCACACUGGGAUCAGUUGACACCGCCCCCGCCCCCCUCCCAGCACACCACCGCACUGCUAUCGUGGAUGGGAUCAGGGGAACACAGUAACGCUACCUAGAAGACACACAGGAGGAUUGCAUGUGCAGGAGAGAAACGUUGCAUUUCUCUCAGGGAAGUAAAUAAAAAAGAAAAAAAGAAGGAUAAAAGGCUUUCACUGCUGAGUUCUGCUCCCACCCCACUAUCAUUGACCUGUAUCCUCACUUGAUUGGGUGUGUGGGGGGGGAGAGGUUGCUUACUGCAUCAAAAUGCUUUUGGCCCCCUAGUUAAAUGGCCGCCAUGUUUUUAAAUAACGGUGCUUAAAGGACUGCUGUGAAGCGAUGCUUGUAGCGGCUGCUAUCGAGCCACGCUGGGAUAUAACUCUUCCCGGUACGUUCGAUCGCUGCAGCAUCGUACGGCUGGGUGUCCCAGACAGACACCGCAAGGGCAGCUUUAGAAACACCAAUGUGUCCUGCAAAUCAUACGGCACCGACAACACAGUGAGAUGAAGUCACACUGACAUUAAUGAGGACCGCUUGGCAAACAGGGCUGAGGUUGUGGGUUUGAGUCCCUGUUCUAUGGUUCCACUCAGUUUCCUAAGCCAUAGCACACAUUAUACAGCCACAUAUAUAUUAUAUACAUCUUUUAUGUAUACAAGGUUCAGUCAGUCAAUCUGAACCGCAGACAGGGCCUAGUGAUUACAUACAACAGUGAUGUAAUCAUUUCAAGCCGUAACAUUUUGGCAGGCUGUCUAGCCCUUGAAACAAAAAGCCCAGCGUUCGUACAGUAUGGUUGAUUCCCUCUCUUGUGCACAACAAUACUCGCAUCCAAAACAAAACAAAAAAAAAACAUACAUCUGGAAAACAGGCUUUCAGAAAAAUGUCUGACGUUUUACAACUGUAACAAAUCCGUGGAAAAUUGAGGACAAAACACUAAAUUAAAGUCGAUCGAUUCCAUGAUGAUAUAGUUAACACCACAGUAACACAUUCUGCUUAACAAAAACCACACACACACACACACACACAACGAUGAUUCUGUAAAUGUAAAGGACGCUUUAAGGCAAAACGAUAACAGACACUAGUCCAGCUUAGGACCAGGAUGUGGUGGUGGGGUGCUGGGGGAGAGGUAGGGGCACUGGGAAGAGGUGGGGGCACUGGGAAGAGGUGGGGGCACUGGGAAGGGGUGGGGGCACUGGGAAGAGGUGGGGGCACUGGGAAGGGAGGAAGGGGUACUGGGAAGAGGAAGGGGUUAGGGCUGGGCGGUAUGUCGAUAUUUGAAAUAUUUCAAUAUUUUUUCAAACGAGAUGUGGAAUGAGACAAUAUCGUCAACAUCAAUAUAGUUUAAUUUGCGUUGAAAGUACAGCAUAUUUUAUCCAAAUAACAGCAGUUUCGAACCGCGAUUGCCGCCU